rnacentral:rRNA from 1 species
AGGGAAUCUUCCGCAAUGGACGCAAGUCUGACGGAGCAACGCCGCGUGAGUGAAGAAGGAUUUCGGUUCGUAAAACUCUGUUGUUAGAGAAGAACAGCGCAUAGAGUAACUGUUAUGCGUGUGACGGUAUCUAACCAGAAAGCCACGGCUAACUACGUGCCAGCAGCCGCGGUAAUACGUAGGUGGCAAGCGUUGUCCGGAAUUAUUGGGCGUAAAGCGAGCGCAGGCGGUUAGAUAAGUCUGAAGUUAAAGGCUGUGGCUUAACCAUAGUACGCUUUGGAAACUGUUUAACUUGAGUGCAAGAGGGGAGAGUGGAAUUCCAUGUGUAGCGGUGAAAUGCGUAGAUAUAUGGAGGAACACCGGUGGCGAAAGCGGCUCUCUGGCUUGUAACUGACGCUGAGGCUCGAAAGCGUGGGGAGCAAACAGGAUUAGAUACCCUGGUAGUCCACGCCGUAAACGAUGAGUGCUAGGUGUUAGACCCUUUCCGGGGUUUAGUGCCGUAGCUAACGCAUUAAGCACUCCGCCUGGGGAGUACGACCGCAAGGUUG